rnacentral:lncRNA from 1 species
UUGGUGUGUGUGUGGGUCGACUGGAACAAGAAGAAAAGAGGGGAAACCCUCAAACUUAGCAAAAUCAGCAAUUGAAGGAGAAAUCCCAGCUUGAUAGUGUGCAUGAACGAAAUUCUUAAUCAUCUAAGCAUUCUAGAACAUAAGAAAUAAAAGAAGAAAACUCAAAUCGUUCCGGAUCGCAAGCAAGUAAAGAAAAAGGUAAGUUCCGAUGCUUACAAAUCUUAGUAGUGUGUAAUGAUAUGAAAUGUUGCUAUCCUAGAGUCGAAUCUUCGUACGUGUAUUGAGUUAGUGUAUGUCGAAGCUAUGCUAAGAGUAUGGGUUCGAAUGAGUAGAAUGGAUCAUAUGCCAAGUUUGGGAAAUUUAUGUCCGGUUGAAUGUUUGAAGUAAGGGGGAGAUUGUUGAUGCAUAUUUUGGCUAUCGCCUUCGUCAAUCCGAGUCAUAGUGAAAAGCCGGGAAGAUAUCAAGCGCAUAAUGUCAUAUUUAGUUAGAAAUGGCAAGGUGGCAAACUUGUAAUUAAUGAGAACUUUCAUUAAGUUGCCUUGACCAUAUAAAUAGGAGGUAUGUCAUGAUUUUAGUUAGAGAUUUUAGAGAUUUUGAUAGAAGAUUUGGAGGAGACUUGGAGAGAAGACUUUCUAGAGAGAGAAAGUAGAGAGAGAAAGUAGAGAGAGAAAGUAGUGUAAACGUGAAUUCUUGUACCGAAGCGUCAAAUCUAUCAAUGAAAUCACGUUAGUAGUACGUUAUCGUGUAUUCGGUCACGUUCGUUCACGGAUUCCGCACGUGAAACGUUCGUUACGCAAUCGAACGGUGCCAAAACCGGUCCUACAAGUGGUAUCAGAGCUAGGAGCUCGAUUGCUUGAUCAAACACGUCGUUCUCGUACAGAUUUGAGCCGAUUCAGAUCCGAUUUCUCCUAUUUCUUCAUCUUCUACUCGUUCUUUACGGAAAUUCGACAAAUUGAACGUGUUUUCACGGUCCGAUUCGUCUGAAAUUCUAGUAUAUUGUGCGAAAUACAUAGAAUCAAAACCCUACCAAGUUUCACAUCAAAAAUCCAAGUCGUUUUGGAGAAAUCUCGAUUUUUCGGUCCGAAUUCGCAGCUGUGGAUCGCCUUUUUGAACACCUCAGGAUCGCUCUUAGUGCACUUUUGUGGGUCGCUCAUUGGAAGUUUCUUGGAUCGCUCAUAAAUACACGUGUGAACCACUCCAAGAUUACAAACGGUGGAUCGCUUAUUGGGAAUGAUUGGAAUCGCUCAUAUGUCAUUUCUUUGAAUCGCUCUUAGGGAAUCUUCUGAACCGCUUAUUUGACACAAGGUGGAUCGCUUUUAAGGACACAAGUCAGAUCGUUCAUAUUGUGUUGCAGGAUUGCAAUGAUAUAGGCCAAAUACUUUUAAUAUCCACCGCCACCUUAUAGCCCUGUCAAGCCCAUGUGACAUGUUUUAGCUGCCGUCCAUUUCUUAUAUUUCCACUGCCCAAGUUUUUGGACAGUUCAUUAACACAUCUUGCACCGACCCAUUAUCUUCUAAGAACCAAUCAAUACAGCCCACCGCCCCACUAUAACAAACUUUGUUUUUUAAUUCACCGAUCAACCGCCCACUUAAAGGCCCACUUCCACCGCCCAUUAAUUUUUUUUACCCAAUCAUUAUAACCGUCCAUUGCACAAAUUUGGACCUAUCAAAAGACAUUAAACAACGUGCAGCCCAACCGCCCAGUUGCGGCCCAUAUAACCAAUCCCAUAUUUUUGUUGCCGCCCACUUUUUGAUAAGCCUUGGCCAAAGUGCACCCUUUUAUCCACCGCCCAAGUGACCAAAUCAAAUUUUUUGAUUGGUUCCACCGCCCAAAUUAACCAACCAUUAAACCCACUUGCACCACCCAAGACCCAACAGUUAUCAAGCACCGACACACUUAGAUAUCGGCCCAAUUAUUGAUUAUUUGUUGCCGUGUUUUGAAAACCCGAGUUAAGAAAUCAUGGGUUUCGAUGUGUUUAAUAUGACUCAGGAAACAAUGGAUAAAAUAAGGGAAUUAGAGACAGAAUUUGAUUCGUUUUCAAUGUUUCCAGGAGAA